rnacentral:rRNA from 1 species
AGGGUUCGAUUCUGGCUCAGGACGAACGCUGGCGGCGUGCUUAACACAUGCAAGUCGAGCGGGGAUGUUCGGAGUGCUUGCACACUGAACAUUUCAGCGGCGGACGGGUGAGUAACGCGUGAACAAUCUGUCCCAUACAGGGGGAUAACAGAUGGAAACAUCUGCUAAUACCGCAUAAGACCACGACAUCACAUGAUGAUGGGGUAAAAGGAUUUAUCCGGUAUGGGGUGAGUUCGCGUCCGAUUAGCUGGUUGGUGAGGUAACGGCCCACCAAGGCGACGAUCGGUAGCCGACCUGAGAGGGUGAUCGGCCACACUGGAACUGAGAGACGGUCCAG